rnacentral:rRNA from 1 species
GACGAACGCUGGCGGCGUGCCUAAUACAUGCCAGUCGAACGCUGAAGGAGGAGCUUGCUUCUCUGGAUGAGUUGCGAACGGGUGAGUAACGCGUAGGUAACCUGCCUUGUAGCGGGGGAUAACUAUUGGAAACGAUAGCUAAUACCGCAUAAGAGUAGAUGUCGCAUGACAUUUGCUUAAAAGGUGCAAUUGCAUCACUACCAGAUGGACCUGCGUUGUAUUAGCUAGUUGGUGAGGUAACGGCUCACCAAGGCAACGAUACAUAGCCGACCUGAGAGGGGGAACGGCCACACUGGGACUGAGACACGGCCCAGACUCCUACGGGAGGCAGCAGUAGGGAAACUUCGGACAUGGACGGAAGUCUGAACGCGCAACGCCGCGUGAGUGAAGAAGGUUUUCGGAUCGUAAAGCUCUGUUGUAAGAGAAGAAAGAGCGUGAGAGUGGAACGUUCACACUGUGACGGUAUCUUAACAGAAAGGGACGGCUAACUACGUG